rnacentral:rRNA from 1 species
GACGAACGCUGGCGGCAUGCCUAAUACAUGCAAGUCGAGCGAACAGAUGAAGUGCUUGCACUUCUGACGUUAGCGGCGAACGGGUGAGUAACACGUAAGGAAUCUACCUAUAAGCGGGGGGUAACAUUCGGAAACGGGUGCUAAUACCGCAUAAUAUCUUCUUCCGCAUGGAAGAAGAUUGAAAGACGGCUCUGCUGUCACUUAUAGAUGACCUUGCGGUGCAUUAGUUAGUUGGUGGGGUAACGGCCUACCAAGACGAUGAGGCAUAGCCGACCUGAGAGGGUGAUCGGCCACAUUGGGACUGAGACACGGCCCAAACUCCUACGGGAGGCAGCAGUAGGGAAUCUGCCGCAAUGGGCGAAAGCCUGACGGAGCAAUGCCGCGUGAGUGAAGAAGGCCUUCGGGUCGUAAAACUCUGUUAUAAGAGAAGAACAAAUUGUAGAGUAACUGCUACAGUCUUGACGGUAUCUUAUCAGAAAGCCACGGCUAACUACGUGCCAGCCGCCGCUGUAA